rnacentral:rRNA from 1 species
CGCCCUUGGGGGUUAAACACUUUUUUUUCUGGAGGGAGAAACUCAAAGGCCUUUCCCUGGAGGAAUAAGCUUUGGGAUAAUUCCGUCCCCAGCAGCCGCGGUAAGACGGAGGAUCCAAGUGUUAUCCGGAAUCACUGGGCGUAAAGCGUCUGUAGGUGGCUUAACAAGUCAACUGUUAAAUCUUGAAGCUCAACUUCGAAAUCGCAGUCGAAACUGUUAGGCUAGAGUAUAGUAGGGGUAAAGGGAAUUUCCAGUGGAGCGGUGAAAUGCGUAGAGAUUGGAAAGAACACCGAUGGCGAAGGCACUUUACUGGGCUAUUACUGACACUCAGAGACGAAAGCUAGGGUAGCAAAUGGGAUUAGAUACCCCAGUAGUCCUAGCCGUAAACAAUGGAUACUAGAUGUUGGGCAGAUCGACCUGUUCAGUAUUAAAGCUAACGCGUUAAGUAUCCCGCCUGGGAAGUAUGCGCGCAAGCGUGAAACUCAAAGGAAUUGACGGGGGCCCGCACAAGCGGUGGAGCAUGUGGUUUAAUUCGAUGCAACGCGAAGAACCUUACCAGGGUUUGACAUGAUACGAAUUUUUUUGAAAGAAAAAAGUGCCGUUUGGAACGUAUACACAGGUGGUGCAUGGCUGUCGUCAGCUCGUGUCGUGAGGUGUUGGGUUAAGUCCCGCAACGAGCGCAACCCUUGUUUUUAGUUGCCUUUUAUGGAACUCUAAAAAGACUGCUGGUUAUAAACCGGAGGAAGGUGGGGAUGACGUCAAGUCAGCAUGCCCCUUACACCCUGGGCUACACACGUGCUACAUUGGGCGAGACAAUGAGAUGCAAAUCUGCGAAGACUAGCUAAUCUAUAAACUCGUUCUAAGUUCGGAUUGUAGGCUGCAACUCGCCUACAUGAAGGUGGAAUCGCUAGUAAUCGCUGGUCAGCUACACAGCGGUGAAUUCGUUCCCGGGCCUUGUACACACCGCCCGUCACACCAUGGAAGCUGGUUAUGCCCGAAGUCAUUACUCUAACCAUUCGGAGGAGGGUGCCUAAGGUAGAAUUAGUGACUAGGGUGAAGUCGUAACAAGGUAACCGUA